GACGAACGCUGGCGGCGUGCCUAAUACAUGCAAGUAGAACGCUGAAGAGAGGAGCUUGCUCUUCUUGGAUGAGUUGCGAACGGGUGAGUAACGCGUAGGUAACCUGCCUGGUAGCGGGGGAUAACUAUUGGAAACGAUAGCUAAUGCCGCAUAAAAUGGAUUAUCGCAUGAUAAUCCAUUGAAAGGUGCAAAUGCAUCACUACCAGAUGGACCUGCGUUGUAUUAGCUAGUUGGUGGGGUAACGGCUCACCAAGGCGACGAUACAUAGCCGACCUGAGAGGGUGAUCGGCCACACUGGGACUGAGACACGGCCCAGACUCCUACGGGAGGCAGCAGUAGGGAAUCUUCGGCAAUGGACGGAAGUCUGACCGAGCAACGCCGCGUGAGUGAAGAAGGUUUUCGGAUCGUAAAGCUCUGUUGUAAGAGAAGAACGAGUGUGAGAGUGGAAAGUUCACACUGUGACGGUAUCUUACCAGAAAGGGACGGCUAACUACGUG
rnacentral:rRNA from 1 species